rnacentral:rRNA from 1 species
AACGAACGCUGGCGGCAUGCCUAACACAUGCAAGUCGAACGAGACCUUCGGGUCUAGUGGCGCACGGGUGCGUAACGCGUGGGAAUCUGCCCUUGGGUUCGGAAUAACAGCGAGAAAUUGCUGCUAAUACCGGAUGAUGACGUAAGUCCAAAGAUUUAUCGCCCAAGGAUGAGCCCGCGUAGGAUUAGCUAGUUGGUGAGGUAAAGGCUCACCAAGGCGACGAUCCUUAGCUGGUCUGAGAGGAUGAUCAGCCACACUGGGACUGAGACACGGCCCAGACUCCUACGGGAGGCAGCAGUGGGGAAUAUUGGACAAUGGGCGAAAGCCUGAUCCAGCAAUGCCGCGUGAGUGAUGAAGGCCUUAGGGUGUAAAGCUCUUUUACCCGGGAUGAUAAUGACAGUACCGGGAGAAUAAGCUCCGGCUAA